rnacentral:rRNA from 1 species
AUUGAACGCUGGCGGAAUGCUUUACACAUGCAAGUCGAACGGUAGAGGGGGCAACCCCUCGAGAGUGGCGAACGGGUGAGUAAUAUAUCGGAACGUGCCCAGUCGUGGGGGAUAACGCAGCGAAAGUUACGCUAAUACCGCAUACGAUCUACGGAUGAAAGCGGGGGAUCGCAAGACAUCGCGCGAUUGGAGCGGCCGAUAUCAGAUUAGGUAGUUGGUGGGGUAAAGGCUCACCAAGCCAACGAUCUGUAGCUGGUCUGAGAGGACGACCAGCCACACUGGAACUGAGACACGGUCCAGACUCCUACGGGAGGCAGCAGUGGGGAAUUUUGGACAAUGGACGCAAGUCUGAUCCAGCCAUUCCGCGUGCAGGAUGAAGGCCCUCGGGCUGUAAACUGCUUUUGUACGGAACGAAAAGGUUUCUACUAAUACUAGGAGCUCAUGACGGUACUGUAAGAAUAAGCACCGGCUAACUACGUGCCAGCCGCCGCCGUAA